AAACCAGCACCUCAAGUGGUCAGGAGGAUUAUUGGGCCUAAAGCAUCCGUAGCCUGUUCUAUAAGUUUCCGGUUAAAUCCACUAGCUCAACUAGUGGGCUGCCGAAAAUACUGUAGAACUAGGGAGUGGGAGAGGUAGACGGUAUUCGGUAGGAAGGGGUAAAAUCCUUUGAUCUAUUGAGGACCACCUGUGGCGAAGGCGGUCUACCAGAACACGCUCGACGGUGAGGGAUGAAAGCUGGGGGAGCAAACCGGAUUAGAAACCCGGGUAGUCC
rnacentral:rRNA from 1 species